rnacentral:lncRNA from 1 species
UUUUCCAGACAAACCCACGGCGAAGAUCGAGCCGCACCCUCAGUACCCGCGGGAGGGGGAGAAGCUGCAGCUGCAAUGUGACGGCCAGGGCAACCCCAUCCCGCAGGAAUUCCUCUGGGAGAAGGAGGGCAGCGACGCCCCCCUGCAGCUGAGCUCCGACAGCGUCCUCAUCUUCCCCUUCCUCAACAAGAGCGACAGCGGCACCUACGUGUGCACGGCCACCAGCUCCAUGGGCAGCGUGGUGGCCAAGUACAACCUGGACGUCAGCGGUGAGUGCGGCCCUGCUGCCACCGGGUGCCCAAAAUGUGGCACUGUGUUAUCUCUGUCACCUGUGUGCCCACAGAGUGGCACUGUGUCACCUGUGCAUCAUGUGUGCCCAAAAUGUGGCACUGUGUCACCUGUGUGCCCAAAAUGUGGCACUGUGUGUCACCCGUGUGCCCAAAACAUCCUGUGUGCCCAAAAUGUGGCACUGUGUCAUCCCUGUCACCUGUGGGUGAGGGCAUUGCAUCCUGUGUGCCCAAAAGGUGGCACUGUGUCACCCAUGUGCCCAAAAAGUUGUCACCGUGUCACCUGUGCAUCCUGUGUGCCCAAAAUGUGUCACUGUGUCACCUGUCCUGGGGUGGGAAGGGGCAGCUCCUGCUGCUCCCCACGUGGUGCUGUCCCCUGACUGUGCUGUUUGUCCCCAUGCCAUGUGUCACACAUGGGCCAGAGCUGUGUGUGUCCCCAUGUCCCCAUGCCAUGUGUCACACGUGGGACAGGGCUCUCUGUGUGUCCCAAUGCCAUGUGUCACACGUGGUUCAGGGCCGUGUGUGUCCCCGUGUCCCCAUGCCAUGUGUCACACAUGGAACUGAGCUGUGUGUGUCCCCAUGUCCCCAUGCCAUGUGCCACACAUGGGGCAGAGCUGUGUGUCCCCAUGUCCCCAUGCCAUGUGUCACACAUGGGGCAGGGCUGGCAUGCUCAGUGUCCCCAUGUCCCCAUGCCAUGUGUCACACAUGGUUCAGGGUCAUGUGUGUCCCCAUGUCCCCAUGCCAUGUGUCACACAUGGGGCAGAGCUGUGUGUGUCCCCAUGUCCCCAUGCCAUGUGUCACACAUGGUUCAGGGUCAUGUGUGUCCCCAUGUCCCCAUGCCAUGUGUCACACAUGGGACAGAGCUCUGUGUGUCCCCAUGUCCCCAUGCCAUGUGUCACACAUGGAGCAGGACUGGCAUGCUCAGUGUCCCCAUGUCCCCAUGCCAUGUGUCACACAUGGAGCAGGGCCAUGUGUGUCCCCAUGUCCCCAUGCCACGUGUCACCCAUGGUUCAGGGCCAUGUGUGUCCCCAUGUCCCCAUGCCAUGUGUCACACAUGGAGCAGGACUGGCAUGCUCAGUGUCCCCAUGUCCCCAUGCCACGUGUCACACGUGGUUCAGGGCUGUGUGUGCUGUGUGCUGCUGCC